CCUACGGGAGGCAGCAGUGGGGAAUAUUGGGCAAUGGGCGCAAGCCUGACCCAGCAACGCCGCGUGAAGGAAGAAGGCCCUCGGGUUGUAAACUUCUUUUGUCAGGGACGAAACAAAUGACGGUACCUGACGAAUAAGCCACGGCUAACUACGUGCCAGCAGCCGCGGUAAUACGUAGGUGGCAAGCGUUAUCCGGAUUUACUGGGUGUAAAGGGCGUGUAGGCGGGAGAGCAAGUCAGAUGUGAAAUUCCAGGGCUCAACCCUGGAACUGCAUUUGAAACUGUUUUUCUUGAGUGAUGGAGAGGCAGGCGGAAUUCCGUGUGUAGCGGUGAAAUGCGUAGAUAUACGGAGGAACACCAGUGGCGAAGGCGGCCUGCUGGACAUUAACUGACGCUGAGGCACGAAGGCCAGGGGAGCGAAAGGGAUUAGAUACCCCAGUAGUC
rnacentral:rRNA from 1 species